UUGAACGCUGGCGGCAGGCCUAACACAUGCAAGUCGAGCGGAUGAAGGGAUCUUGCUCCUGGAUUCAGCGGCGGACGGGUGAGUAAUGCCUAGGAAUCUGCCUGGUAUUGGGGUAUAACUUCCGUAAACGGGCUCUAAUACCUCAUACGUCCUGAGUGAUACAGUGUGGGAUCUUCUGACCUCUUGCUAUCAUUUGAUCCUAGCUCGGAUUAGCUAGUUGGUGGGGUAAAGUCCUACCAAGGCGACGAUACGUAACUGGUCUGAGAGGAUGAUCAGUCACACUGGAAGGGAGACACGGACAAGACGACUACGGGAGGGAGCAGAGGGGAAUAUUGGACAAUGGGCGAAAGGAUGAUCCAGCAAUGGCGAGUGUGAGAAGAAGGUCUUGGGAUUGUAAAGAACUUUAAGGUGGGAGGAAGGGAAGUAAGUUAAUACCUAGCUGUUUUGACGUUAACAACAGAAUAAGCACCGGCUAACUUCGUG
rnacentral:rRNA from 1 species